rnacentral:lncRNA from 1 species
UUUCGCAUUUUAAUGUAUUUGCCCAUAUAUAUCUCAUAUUAAAAUAUCAAAAACAUCUCAUAGUAGUUCAAGCAGGCCACAUCCAGUGGCCAGGCAGACCAGUGAACUACUGAACUGAACAAUGACAGCAAAUACCAUGAUUUUGUGCUCAUGACCAUCAACCAAGGUUAACAGUAGUUUGUUUCAGAUCCGCAAUCAGCAACCUAAUAAUAGCAACAAGAAUGGAAAGCAUGAUCUCUGAAGAAAAUUUGCUCAAGUGUUGUUCUUGUUCACAUAGUUCAGUUCCAGUAUUAUAGAAAGCGCCGCAGACAAAUUCUAGCCUCCUGGCCGAACAUGAAGUAGCUAGUUCAACUAGAGUUAUCCAUCAUUUUAGGCACCACAACAUCUCGAAAUUAAAAAAAAAAAAAAAAAAANNNN